AAGUCGUAACAAGGUUUCCGUAGGUGAACCUGCGGAAGGAUCAUUAACACGUAUCCAACGUUAAACAACCCUGUGAACUUUAAGUCCCCUCUUGCAGCCCAUGAGGAACAGCAAUCCCGGUAAAUCAUUGCCAAACAGUUUUGAUUCGGGACCUCUGUCCAAAAGGAGUUGCAACGACCGGCAGACAUGUCACAGGGUCACCACGCCCCUUAAUCACUCCACUUGAAAAUGCCCCGCCUAGUGGUAACGCGCUAGGUAAAAAAAACCGAACAACUGUUAACAAUGGAUAUCUUGGUUCUC
rnacentral:misc_RNA from 1 species